rnacentral:rRNA from 1 species
UACCAGCACCCCGAGUGGUCGGGACGAUUAUUGGGCCUAAAGCAUCCGUAGCCGGUCCUACAAGUCUUCCGUUAAAUCCACCUGCUUAACAGAUGGGCUGCGGAAGAUACUAUAGGGCUAGGAGGCGGGAGAGGCAAGCGGGUAACUCAGUGGGUAGGGGUAAAAUCCUCUGAUCCAUUGAAGACCACCAGUGGCGAAGGCGGCUUGCCAGAACGCGCUCGACGGUGAGGGAUGAAAGCUGGGGGAGCAAACCGG